GCCGGGGUGAUGAAAUCGGUAGACAUACAAGACUUAAAAUCUUGAGAGCGAAAGCUCGUGUGGGUUCGAUUCCCACCCCCGGCACCA
rnacentral:tRNA from 1 species